AGUAAUGGUUUUUCAUAGUGAGUGCAAAAUCACCCAGUUAUGUUGGAUGCAUGAUUUCUGAAGAUAAAUUGAUGAUAACUUAACUAUCUGCAAGCUCCUGCUUUAGAUGCAAUUGCAUGAGAAGUUGAUGUAUAGUUAAAGAAUUUUAUUAUCAACGCAAGUACUUCAGAAGGUCUUUUAUAAGAUAAAAAAAAAAUCAAUAAGAAGUUUUAGUUGGCACAGAUGAAAUAAGAACAUUUAUCUUUGCUGUGCAAGUGACCUCUUCAAAAGACACCUUCAGGCACAGACACUUCUCCAAUAGAAUACAAUUGUACUGAAUACAGAUGCCAAGAAUUCUUUUAUCCUUGCUCUAAUUGGAUAGAAGAUCUGCUGUGUCCAGAGGGUUCCAAAUGCUGCAAGGAUUUCUGAUAGAUAUUUCGUCUCAGCAUUCUUAUUCCUCUCUAUGUGAGACAGAAAUCUUCAAUAUUGCAUUUGCUCCUCUGACUGCUUGCAUGGCUCCACGAAUCUGCAGACCUGUCAAUCGUUGCUGCUUCCCUCGAGACGGGGACUGUCCUGUUGGAAAAGUUUGCUGUCAAAUGUGGAGGUUGAGCUAACAAAGCGAUCAGCACAUUUUCUUGUAGUUGGCUGAAUUUCUCAUUCAACUGAUACUCAAAAUGUUUUGUUGUUGGAUAUAAAUGUAAAAAUUUUAAAUAAGCAUUUAUUGGAAAUUUUAUUUGUUUUCACAAAGUGCAUUUCUUUCCUAUGCGUGUUUUCCUAUCUUCAAUGUAAACUGUUCUAAACGUGAUCAUUGAAAAUGCUUUUCUUAAAAGUAUUUUGCUGCGUGCUUUUGAUUGAUUUAUAUUUUAACAGGAUAACCGUUUUAAAAUUGUAACAGACGAUAAAAAUUUAUCGAAGUUGAUUAUUUACAUGAUAUUGCUUCAUCUGUUUUAUGAUAGACGAUAAAAGUGUACGGCAAUUUUAUUUUUCAUGAAAUUUCGUGUGUUUCUUUUGUAAUAACCGAUAAAAAUGUGUGCCAGGUCUAUUUCAUAAAGAGUUUCUUAUGUUUUCAAUAUUUUUAUUUGCUGAAAACAAAUGUGGAGCUUAGAAUAAAAAAUCCAAUUUAUCACUGAAA
rnacentral:lncRNA from 1 species